GAAGGAAACCGAUGGAGCAAAAUCACCAAAGAAGGAGGACACCGGAGCAGGGAGGAAAUUGAG
rnacentral:SRP_RNA from 1 species